rnacentral:rRNA from 1 species
AUUGAACGCUGGCGGCGUGCCUAACACAUGCAAGUCGAUCGGUAACGCGGGGGCAACCCUGGCGACGAGAGGUGGACGGGUGAGCAAUGCUUGGGAAUCUGCCCAUCAGCGGGGGACAACCCGGGGAAACCCGGGCUAAUACCGCAUACGCUCUACGGAGGAAAGCCGGGGACCGCAAGGCCUGGCACUGAUGGAUGAGCCCAAGUCGGAUUAGCUAGUUGGCGGGGUAACGGCCCACCAAGGCGACGAUCCGUAGCUGGUCUGAGAGGACGAUCAGCCAGACCGGAACUGAGACACGGUCCGGACUCCUACGGGAGGCAGCAGUGGGGAAUAUUGGACAAUGGGGGAAACCCUGAUCCAGCGACGCCGCGUGGGUGAAGAAGGCCUGCGGGUUGUAAAGCCCUUUCGGUAGGGACGAAAGCUUCCGACCUAACACGUCGGGAGGUUGACUUAACCUACAGAAGAAGCACCGGCUAACUCUGUGCCAGCAGCCGCAGUAACAC